AACGGCAUUUCAGAAUAUAACUUUUUUUAAAAUUAAAAUUGAAUUGUUUAAAAUUUGUGCACAAACAAUUAAUAAUACUAAGGACAAGAAGACCCUACGAAUUUAUG
rnacentral:lncRNA from 1 species